GCUCGCAUGGCGAAAUUGGUAGACGCGAUAGACUCAAAAUCUAUUUUCUGAUGAAGAAGUCUCGGUUCAAGUCCGAGUGCGAGCACCA
rnacentral:tRNA from 1 species